GACAGAGGGUGCAAACGUUGUUCGGAAUUACUGGGCGUAAAGCGCGUGUAGGCGGCUUGGCAAGUCGGGUGUGAAAGCCCUGGGCUCAACCUAGGAAGUGCACUCGAAACUGCUUCGCUUGAGUGUCGGAGGGGAAAGCGGAAUUCUCGGUGUAGAGGUGAAAUUCGUAGAUAUCGAGAGGAACACCGGUGGCGAAGGCGGCUUUCUGGACGAUAACUGACGCUGAGACGCGAAAGCGUGGGGAGCAAACAGG
rnacentral:rRNA from 1 species